rnacentral:ribozyme from 1 species
GCCAGAAAACUCUGUUCAUGGGGUAGGGUUCGAGACUCCUUUCAGGGUCACACAGACUCUCCUACCCAACUCGUAUUCCGUCACGUCCCCGUCGUACAGAGCGAUAGCUUGCCCACCGCAUAUCCAAGGUUUGGUUCAACCGAAUAGA